GGAGGUAUAGUUCAGUGGUAGAAUUCCUUCUUUGAAUGCACAAGGCCCUGGGUUUCAUCCCCCAGUACUGCCA
rnacentral:tRNA from 1 species